CCAUGGUUACGGAGAGAUGAUUGUAUUUUCAUUAUCUCUUUACACUAGAACGUAUGCUCCAUGAUGGCAGGGAUUUCUGACUGCUUUCUUCACAGCUGUCCCCAGUGCCUAAAAAACCGACUACAGAUAGAUGCUUUCAAAACUGUUGGAUGAAUGAUACUGAAAUAUUACAAGGCAAAAUACAUUAUUACCUGAAUACAUUAAAUAUUAUGAGAAGCAGAAAUCCCAAUCACCCACACUCACACAGUUUUGCAAAAAGAGACAUCAUAGUUUGUUUCUUAAAAAUGCAUUAAAGUCUAAUUGAUGGUUUUGUUAACAUCAUUCUCUCUGUGCCUAAAGAGUCCUAGGUCACACCUAAAAGGUACAGUUUUAGCUUCAGUAGGCAAACGGAAAAGAAAAAUACAGGCUUUUUUCCUUUCAUUAGUCAUCACUGACAGAAGGCCUCCAAGUGACCCUGGUGCCACAAAUGUUUAGGAUCUUUAGGGAAGAAAGGAGUCUAGAAAAAUAACAAUAUUCCUUCACCAAUCUCGAGAAGAAUCUCUCCAAAUCUCUCUGCAGACAUUUUUUCUUCAUAUCCUUUAACAAAGCCAUUCUUAACAUGUACAUGAAAUCUUAGUUGAAGAAACAAUGUGAUUACAUAAUUACACAUACGGAAAAACUUGGUAUUCUAUUAUCUCUCCAAAUUUUUUUUUAACUAAAACUAGACUUACAGUUUUUGUUGAAAAUGUUUUGUGUUUCUACCUCCGAAGAAUAUGAAAAAAAGAAAAUGUUUUGCUCUGAAGCUGAGUUAAGAAGAAGAUAGCCAAGACGUGGGUUGAUGGGGACUGUAUUUUAAGGCUGAACAGUUUUGUUUACUAUUGUUUAUUAUUUAAUAUAUUCUUCCCAGUCUCCCCACCCCCACCAAAGGAAAAGCGAAAAAUUUACGUUAGUGCAAUCAAUAAGGAAUUAUUUGUCCAAAGGAAGUUGUUCUGAAAGGCUAUGACCUAAGUCUUUAACACAAAGUUCAGGCGGUAGAUGUCACUUCUCUCACCCAUUUAACAACAACAACAAAUCAAGAUUCAGAUCCCGCGGAGGCAAGCAGAAAGGAACAGGCGUGAAAAAUGAAAUCAGUUGUUUCUCCCCGGCCUCCUCUCGACACUGCGCACUCCGCUGCCCUGCCCCCGCCCAUCGCCCUUUAGCGGCCCCUUUUAACGGCGUCGUUUGCCCAGCACAGCCCCGCACUGCGCCAUCAAAUGAGUCAAGCGGAAGGACCGGUACCCCUCCGGGAAAACCAGGCACUAACACACGGUGCACCCAACUGAAUUUAAACUCGGGAACAGUGUAGGCAGUGUCAACAAAGCGCGGUGCUGGGUCCCGAGCGUCCAAAGGUCCCUGCCAGCUCCCAGACGCGGCCAAAUCCACAGGAUUCCAAAAGUACAGACGGGGUUUCACCGUAUUAGCCAGGAUGGUCUCAAUCUUCUAACCUCGUGAUCUGCCCACCUCGGCCUCGCAAAGCGCUGGGAUUACAGGCGUGAGCCUCCGCGACCGGCCAGAACUAGCUCUUCUUAAGGAUGUGACAGUGAUCUGCACUAGAGCUUCAGGCAGCUAAGGUAGCCAAGAAAUAUUCACAUGAAGGGACAAUGGGAGAGGAGCUGGCAAGAGUUUGGGCAGUACUUGGAAGAUGCAUUCCUUAUCAUAUAGAUUACAUAUGGCAGUGAAUUGACAGAGGAUUCACUGGGACAUCUUCAGAAAGAUAUCUGAAAAGGAGAGACUCUAUGGAGUGUGGAUGUAGAAAAGGAGUUAUUCCUACCGGAAAAAAAUGAACUGUGGACACAGUCACUCAAGACCAGAGAAACAACCACUAUGAGUAAGUAGCUUCAAUUUCACUGUUACCAGGAGGGCACACACCAGAAAGCCUGGGACAAAGCCUGGGCUAGAGCCCUCAGGAUUCAUUCUCAGGCUUCCUGGUGCUGUGGUUCAACAGCCUUUGUGGGGAUGGGGAGAACCAGAGACUAUCACCAUCACAUGUAAAAAAUAUUACCACAGCAACAGCUGUCAAAAACCAGCUGGAGCUGAAGUUACACACCAUUUGAAAUCCACACUGUACUUGCUUUCUUGUGAUGGGCUUGAGACAUGUGCAGAGACACCUUAAACAUGUGUAGGUGACCACCCUUUUGAAAGGCAGAGGAGGGCCUCUUCAUGAACUCUUUCUACUCAUUUGUUUUCCUAUCAGUUCACCAUUUCAACUAGAAAAGAUGC
rnacentral:lncRNA from 1 species